GGGCGGAGCUUGGCUCCAGUAUCACCUUCACUCUGUAAAGUGGUGGUCACUCAUAAUAAAGGUGGAGACCUCCAGCUCUGCGUAAUGAGAGCGUCCUUUAUCAACUACUUUCUUCUUAUUGUGGCAUCGAUCAUUCUGAUCAGCGCGUCGCUUACUUCCGUGGAGGACGAGGAGGGAUCAGGCAGUGACCUGGAGUCGGAUGGUUCAGGAGAUGAAGCGCUGAAGGACGCUGCCGCUGGACACAGACAUUCUUCUCAGAAUUCCUAUACCUUUGAUCCAAAUAUCUCACCUUGGGGAGAAACUGAGCCUGAGCCUGUGAUGUUGCACCGUGGACAGCAUUUCUGGCAAAAUAAAGACAUUUUAUAUGCUGUGAUCGCAGGUGGAGUGGCAGGAACGAUAAUCGCAGCUGCCAUCAUGGCAUUUUUAAUCCACAAAUGGCAGAAAGAGGAAAAGGAGGAAUACUUAAUGUACGAGAGGAGGAAGGAAGAGCGUCAGAGACGCAGGAUUGCCACCACUGUUUUAUAACUUUCCUCUCAACAGGAAGCACUCCUGAAGCUUUGUUUACAAUGAUAUGAUUAUAUUUAAUUUAGAUUUAUGAUUGCUCUGAAGAAGAUCAUCAGUUUAAACCAGUGAUUCUCAACCUUUUCAGUCCGCGACCCCCAAAAUAAAGGUGCUAGAGAGCGGGGACCCUUCA
rnacentral:lncRNA from 1 species